UGGGCGUAAAGAGCUCGUAGGCGGUUUGUCGCGUCUGCCGUGAAAGUCCGGGGCUUAACCCCGGAUCUGCGGUGGGUACGGGCAGACUAGAGUGCAGUAGGGGAGACUGGAAUUCCUGGUGUAGCGGUGAAAUGCGCAGAUAUCAGGAGGAACACCGAUGGCGAAGGCAGGUCUCUGGGCUGUUACUGACGCUGAGGAGCGAAAGCAUGGGGAGCGAACAGGAUUAGAUACCCUGGUAGUCCAUGCCGUAAACGUUGGGCACUAGGUGUGGGGGACAUUCCACGUUUUCCGCGCCGCAGCUAACGCAUUAAGUGCCCCGCCUGGGGAGUACGGCCGCAAGGCUAAAACUCAAAGGAAUUGACGGGGGCCCGCACAAGCGGCGGAGCAUGCGGAUUAAUUCGAUGCAACGCGAAGAACCUUACCAAGGCUUGACAUGUUCUCGACCGCCACAGAGAUGUGGUUUCCCCUUUGGGGCGGGUUCACAGGUGGUGCAUGGUUGUCGUCAGCUCGUGUCGUGAGAUGUUGGGUUAAGUCCCGCAACGAGCGCAACCCUCGUUCCAUGUUGCCAGCGGGUUAUGCCGGGGACUCAUGGGAGACUGCCGGGGUCAACUCGGAGGAAGGUGGGGACGACGUCAAAUCAUCAUGCCCCUUAUGUCUUGGGCUUCACGCAUGCUACAAUGGCCGGUACAAUGGGUUGCGAUACUGUGAGGUGGAGCUAAUCCCAAAAAGCCGGUCUCAGUUCGGAUUGGGGUCUGCAACUCGACCCCAUGAAGUCGGAGUCGCUAGUAA
rnacentral:rRNA from 1 species